UCCGGUUUGUCACCGGCAGUCCCAUUAGAGUGCUCAACUGAAUGUAGCAACUAAUGGCAAGGGUUGCGCUCGUUGCGGGACUUAACCCAACAUCUCACGACACGAGCUGACGACAGCCAUGCAGCACCUGUGUCCAGGUUCCCUUUCGGGCACCCCUGCAUUUCUGCAGGGUUCCUGGCAUGUCAAGGGUAGGUAAGGUGGGGAUGACGUGUCGUUACCUUA
rnacentral:misc_RNA from 1 species